rnacentral:tRNA from 1 species
UGGCAUAGCGGUUAAAGUGCUCAGCUGCUAACUGAAAGGUUGGUGGUUAGAACCCACC